UACGGAGGGUGCAAGCGUUAUCCGGAUUCACUGGGUUUAAAGGGUGCGUAGGCGGGUUGGUAAGUCCGUGGUGAAAUCUCCGAGCUUAACUCGGAAACUGCCGUGGAUACUAUCAAUCUUGAAUAUCGUGGAGGUAAGCGGAAUAUGUCAUGUAGCGGUGAAAUGCUUAGAGAUGACAUAGAACACCAAUUGCGUAGGCAGCUUACUACACGAUCAUUGACGCUGAGGCACGAAAGCGUGGGGGAGCAAACAGG
rnacentral:rRNA from 1 species